rnacentral:rRNA from 1 species
AUUGAACGCUGGCGGCAGGCCUAACACAUGCAAGUCGAGCGGAUGAAGAGAGCUUGCUCUCUGAUUUAGCGGCGGACGGGUGAGUAAUGCCUAGGAAUCUGCCUGGUAGUGUGGGAUAACGUUCCGAAAGGAACGCUAAUACCGCGUACGUCCUACGGGAGAAAGCAGGGGACCUUCGGGCCUUGCGCUAUCAGAUGAGCCUAGGUCGGAUUAGCUAGGUGGUGAGGUAAGGGCUCACCAAGGCGACGAUCCGUAACUGGUCUGAGAGGAUGAUCAGUCAAACUGGAACUGAGACACGGUCCAGACUCCUACGGGAGGCAGCAGUGGGGAAUAUUGGACAAUGGGCGAAAGCCUGAUCCAGCCAUGCCGCGUGUGUGAAGAAGGUCUUCGGAUUGUAAAGCACUUUAAGUUGGGAGGAAGGGCAGUAAGUUAAUACCUUGCUGUUUUGACGUUACCGACAGAAUAAGCACCGGCUAACUUCGUGCCAGCAGCCGCAGUAACAC